rnacentral:rRNA from 1 species
GGGAUUCCCCUAGUAACGGCGAGUGAAGCGGGAACAGCUCAAAUUUGAAAUCUGGCCCUUGGGUCCGAAUUGUAAUUUGUAGAGGAUGCUUUUGGUUAGGUACUUUCCGAGUUCCCUGGAACGGGACGCCUUAGAGGGUGAGAGCCCCGUACGGUUGGAUACCGAGCCUCUGUAAAGCUCCUUCGACGAGUCGAGUAGUUUGGGAAUGCUGCUCUAAAUGGGAGGUAAAUUUCUUCUAAAGCUAAAUACCGGCCAGAGACCGAUAGCGCACAAGUAGAGUGAUCGAAAGAUGAAAAGCACUUUGAAAAGAGGGUUAAAUAGCACGUGAAAUUGUUGAAAGGGAAGGGUUUAUGACCAGACUUUUUCCAGGCGGAUCAUCCGGUGUUCUCACCGGUGCACUUCGUCUGGUUGAGGCCAGCAUCGGUUUUUGUAGGGGGAUAAAAGCAGUAGGAAUGUGACUCCUCCGGGAGUGUUAUAGCCUAUUGUAUAAUACCCCUACGGAGACCGAGGUUCGCGCAUUGCAAGGAUGCUGGCGUAAUGGUUAUUAACCA